UGGCUCAGGAUGAACGCCGGCGGUGUGCCUAAUACAUGCAAGUCGAACGCGUUGGCCCAAUUGAUUGAUGGUGCUUGCACCUGAUUGAUUUUGGUCGCCAACGAGUGGCGGACGGGUGAGUAACACGUAGGUAACCUGCCCAGAAGCGGGGGACAACAUUUGGAAACAGAUGCUAAUACCGCAUAACARCGUUGUUCGCAUGAACAACGCUUAAAAGAUGGCUUCUCGCUAUCRCUUCUGGAUGGACCUGCGGUGCAUUAGCUUGUUGGUGGGGUAAYGGCCUACCAAGGCGAUGAUGCAUAGCCGAGUUGAGAGACUGAUCGGCCACAAUGGGACUGAGACACGGCCCAUACUCCUACGGGAGGCAGCAGUAGGGAAUCUUCCACAAUGGGCGCAAGCCUGAUGGAGCAACACCGCGUGAGUGAAGAAGGGUUUCGGCUCGUAAAGCUCUGUUGUUAAAGAAGAACACGUAUGAGAGUAACUGUUCAUACGUUGACGGUAUUUAACCAGAAAGUCACGGCUAACUACGUGCCAGCAGCCGCGGUAAUACGUAGGUGGCAAGCGUUAUCCGGAUUUAUUGGGCGUAAAGAGAGUGCAGGCGGUUUUCUAAGUCUGAUGUGAAAGCCUUCGGCUUAACCGGAGAAGUGCAUCGGAAACUGGAUAACUUGAGUGCAGAAGAGGGUAGUGGAACUCCAUGUGUAGCGGUGGAAUGCGUAGAUAUAUGGAAGAACACCAGUGGCGAAGGCGGCUACCUGGUCUGCAACUGACGCUGAGACUCGAAAGCAUGGGUAGCGAACAGGAUUAGAUACCCUGGUAGUCCAUGCCGUAAACGAUGAGUGCUAGGUGUUGGAGGGUUUCCGCCCUUCAGUGCCGGAGCUAACGCAUUAAGCACUCCGCCUGGGGAGUACGACCGCAAGGUUGAAACUCAAAGGAAUUGACGGGGGCCCGCACAAGCGGUGGAGCAUGUGGUUUAAUUCGAAGCUACGCGAAGAACCUUACCAGGUCUUGACAUCUUGCGCCAACCCUAGAGAUAGGGCGUUUCCUUCGGGAACGCAAUGACAGGUGGUGCAUGGUCGUCGUCAGCUCGUGUCGUGAGAUGUUGGGUUAAGUCCCGCAACGAGCGCAACCCUUGUUACUAGUUGCCAGCAUUAAGUUGGGCACUCUAGUGAGACUGCCGGUGACAAACCGGAGGAAGGUGGGGACGACGUCAGAUCAUCAUGCCCCUUAUGACCUGGGCUACACACGUGCUACAAUGGACGGUACAACGAGUCGCGAACUCGCGAGGGCAAGCAAAUCUCUUAAAACCGUUCUCAGUUCGGACUGCAGGCUGCAACUCGCCUGCACGAAGUCGGAAUCGCUAGUAAUCGCGGAUCAGCAUGCCGCGGUGAAUACGUUCCCGGGCCUUGUACACACCGCCCGUCACACCAUGAGAGUUUGUAACACCCAAAGUCGGUGGGGYAACCUUUUAGGAGCCAGCCGCCUAAGGUGGGACAGAUGAUUAGGGUGAAGUCGU
rnacentral:rRNA from 2 species